rnacentral:ncRNA from 1 species
GAGAGCCCGGUGCUCGGAAACGGGCACGCCGGGUUCGGCGGGCGGGCCGGGGAAACCCACC